rnacentral:rRNA from 1 species
CCUACGGGUGGCAGCAGUGAGGAAUAUUGGUCAAUGGGCGCGAGCCUGAACCAGCCAAGUCGCGUGAGGGAAGACGGUCCUAUGGAUUGUAAACCUCUUUUGUCGGGGAGCAAAAGACGCCACGCGUGGCGUUCCGAGAGUACCCGAAGAAAAAGCAUCGGCUAACUCCGUUCCAGCAGCCGCGGUAAUCCGGGGGAGGCGAGCGUUAUCCGGAUUUAUUGGGUUUACGGGGUGCGCAGGCGGAAGCUCAAGUCAGCGGUAAAAUUGAGAGGCUCAACCUCUUCGAGCCGUUGAAACUGGUUUUGUUGAGUGAGUGAGAAGGAUGCGGAAUGCGUGGUGUAGCGGUGAAGUGCAUAGAUAUCACGCAGAACUCCGAUUGCGAGGGCAGGAUAGCGGCGCUCAACGGACGCUCAUGCACGAAAGUGUGGGUAUCGAACAGGAUUAGAUACCCCAGUAGUC